CUUGUCGUUGUCGAAGUGUAAAAUAGAUAAACAAAAGAACUAAGUUACCUCGUGCUGGAUAUAACUCCUUUUACUGGAACAAGAGUCGGCAAACAAAGGUUAUAAUUUGUUUUGCUGGAACAACAACGUAUUUGUUGUGAAGAUGAAGAUGUAGCAUCAACAUCCUCUGGCAUCUUAAAAGUGUUAAAAAUCCAAGUGCUCAUUGUACGUCAUAGAUUUUUAAUGUGCUUCUAAAUGCAUCAUCGAGCAGCCUUGAUCCAUUUAGAUAAAGUGUCUAGUUUGGGAUCAUCUCACUCGCACUUUUCGUCAUUUUCUCGCAAAGUCCAAAACUGCGUCCAUUCGUAACCUGAAAUUCUUCGUUUUUUGUUGAUGGGCCAGGGAAUUCUAUAUUUUGUACCUUUGGAUAACAACUCAUUUAGAUGUUCAUUGUUUACAAAGCCUUUUUCUCCUAGAAAAAAGAUGAAAGUUGAGGUUUGUGUGAAGUUUAGGAAUCUGAUCUAAAAAAUGGUUAUCAUCCUUUGUUGUGUUAUUACCAAAGGAGAGAAGAACGGAUUUGUGAUUUCUAAAUCCCAUCUUUUAUGAAUGAUGUAUAUGUGAUGGAUAUAUGUGAGAUUCGAAGUUUUGCUGUGAAUUCCAAUUCUUUAGUGAAUCAUAUGAAAAUGGUAAUAUUUCAGACUUUUUUUGGUGGAACAACAUAUUAUUUGUCGCGUAGAUGAGGCAUCCACAUCCUCUGGCGUCUUAAAAGUGUUAAAAACCCGCGUGUUCAUUGUACAUCGUAGAUUUUCAAUGUGCUUCUGAAUGCAUCACCGAUCAGCUUUAAUCCCUUUAGAUAAAGUGUCCAGUUUUUGACCAUCUGACUCGCACUUUACGAGUUUUCUUGCAUAGUCCACAACUUCAUCCAUUCAUUACCUGAAAUUCUUCUUUUAAUUGAUGGGCAAAGGAAUUCUGUAUUUUGGAACUUUGGAUUACAACUCUCUUAGAAGUUCAUUGUUUACAAUGCCUUUGUCUACUGUAAGUAUACUGCUAAUACAAUAGUUUCAUUUAUUUUAUAAUGUACAUCUUUUGAACAUUUGGUUUUUCUUUAACAUUUGAGAAACAAGAAUAUACUUGAUAUUAUGUAUGUCCUGAGUUAUAGUUUCGUGGUAAAUGAUACGUCCUAGUUAAUUCCUCUGCAUAAUCUCGACGAUUUACUUAAACGCAUGAAAAGCUGCUUUUAACAACAAUUGACUUCUACAUCGACAUAGGAACAUGAAAAACAUUAAAAAUAUAAUAAACGUAAUACAUCACACUUCAGCUUGAACACCAACGGAUUUUGGUGUAGAUAUAAAAAAGAUGGCAUCACAAUGACACCAUUUCAUUUCAGCGUGAUUAAUUCCGAAUUUCAGCGUCAUUCUAUCGUACUUCAACGUGAUACAUGGGUUUAGAACGACCAUUGCGGUACAAAAUCAUAUAUAUUUUCAAUUACCUCCUAGAAAUAUGCAAACAGUUUCAAACAGUACAGUGUGACAGUAGUUUUAUCAAAUAUAGCUGCAUUGUUCAUUGUAUAUUAUGAAAAUGUAUAGAUGAAAAUAGGGGAAAAAUGACUUUAGAAAUUUGUUUUAAAUACGUUAUUUUCCUCUGCCAUCUUCAUUCAUAUAUAUUUAUGAGAUAAGAAACAGAAGACAAUUUCAGUUCUUGUGGUUUUUUCAACUGUACUUGCUUUUAGAAACAGCAAAUUAAAGUGAAAUGAAAGGUAGCACCAAAUAAACUAUAAAAUUGAGGAGAAGUGGUAUGAUUGCCAAUGAGACAACUACCCACAAAAGUUAAAAGGAAGCGGAUGUAAGCAAUUAUUGGCCAUUGUACGGAAUUCAACAAUUAGAAUCACCCAUGCCGUACAGUCAGGCACUGCCAUGAAAAAUAUAAAACAAUUCAAUUGAGAAAAAUAACGGCCUUAUUUAUAACAAAACAAUUUACGAAAAACAAAUAAGAUAAAUAUGACUAGCCUGCUUUUAGAGAAUUAAAUUAAUAAUACUUAAAAAAGCAACAAAAAUGCAUUUUUUACGUGACAUAGCAAAAAACAAAAAGGAAAACACAAUGGUGGAUUAUAAACUAGUUUAUGUUUAUCUUAAAUGGAGGAAAGUUUUUGAAAUCGUAGAAUACCAUGACCAGAUCUGAAGCAAAUCGGUUACACGUUUUUAUGAAAACGUAUUUCCAAUUGAUCGUUUUGAAAAAAAAUGUUCACAUUAAGGUAGUGAAAUUUCGUUCGUUUUUCGUUAAUUAAUAUUGAUAUGUGACCAUUUGUAUGUACUUAAUCCAGUGCAGUUAAAUCUUACAAUCAAUUUUCGUUAUAGCAUCAAGAAGAGAAACGUUUAUUCACACACGUGUAAAUCAAUGAGUUCUUGUAUUAAUAAUUCGCGUUAUUAUUACUAGAUAUAAUACUGUAAUGUAUUUGAUAUGUAUAAAAUGUAGUAUUGAAGGUUAUUGUGAGUAGUACACGUAGGCCGUGUUUCCUUUGAGGAAAAGUCCGUGUGGCGUAAGUAUACUCAAAACUUAAACUAAUCUUUAUUACGUUGUUAUUUUUGAAAAUAAAUGUUUACAUGUAGUUUAAAUCAGGUUUUGACUACAUGCAGUCGAUAGUCAAUGUAGACCUUGUGGGAGUAAAUCGUUGAUAAAACAGGAUAUUAAGAGCGUGGAUUUUAUCACUGAAUAUUCAAAGAAGUUACAUAUAUUGAAUAAAAAUAAUUAUCUUUAUGUCAAAAAAAAAAAAAAAAAAUCUCAAUAAUUAAUGCUUGCAUGAUUAACUUUAAAUAGUUUUUGUUGACCAUUUGAUUUUCAGUCAGAGGGGGAUUUUUUGCUGAUGGAAUAUUUAUUUUACACCUGUUUUACAGAGCUUAUUUAUUUAGUGCGAACAAUAAUUUUCAAGCUUGGAACACAACUAUUUCUUGCAAUGUCCUGCCUAAAAUAGCACAAACUAUUCAAAACAGAUUUUUGAAUAAAUAUUCUGGACUUGCGCAGUCAAGAAUGUUCAUUUCUAAAAUUACCUAUGGUGACUGGUGACUAGAAAUAUGGUCUCUUAGGAUUCCCUAAAGGUACCGACCAUUUAUUUUCGUAGGACAAACAGUUUUUUUAUGACUUUAAAAAAAAAACGUUUUUUUUAAUAACAUAUAUAGGAAUUUUUUUUUAACUCCAUUAUGAAUCCCCUCGCCCUUCAUUUUCAAUGGAAUCAAACAAUUUUUCACAAUCCACUCCAGUUUCCCCUCAAAAUAUUGGAGUUCCAACAAUGUAUCUUAUAUAUGUAUCUAUAUUAUUUUUUGCGACUGUCAUACAAGUGAGAGAUUUAGCUAGCUAUAAGACCAGGUUUAAUUCACCAUUUUCUACAUAAGAAAAUGCCUGUACCACGUCAGGAAUAUAACAGUUGUUAUCCAUUCGUUUAAUGUGUUUGAGCUUUUUAAUUUGCCAUUUGCUUAGGGACUUUCCGUUUAGAAUUAUCCUCGGAAUUCAGUAUUUUUGUUAUUUUUCUUUUUACUUGUGUUAACAAUUAUCAUGUACAGGUAAUCAACACCAACGUACAGAUGAGAACAAAUUUUAUGUGAAACCAAUGCUCAUUACAUGAAACUAAUUAUAAACAGGUUUACAGUACGCGAUGUUUUGGUGUGAACACGGUCUUACAUUGGAUCUUUUUUGUCUAGGACAUAUAAUAUAAUUAUUUUAUAUUUAGACGGACGUAGUGAGGGAGAAUAUAAUAGGCAAUCAAGUCCCCGUUUCAGAAUCUAAUGCCUUCUUGGUACUUCAUGUCGUACACCAAAACAUUGCAAUAUGUUGUUAACGUCAUAAACAACGGAAGGUGAAUUAAUUGAAUGACGUUAUUUCAAUUUUGGGGUAACAACAAUGAAAUUAUCCAUAGUCCUUUGUAUUUUGAAACGGUGAAUUGUAAAAUGGUUUAAGAAAAUAAAAGUCACUGCAUUUUGUGCAACGGAUAAAAAUAUUGAAAAGCUUGAUACAUAAAACGAAAAAACAUUCCUAACCAUACGUAUUCUUUUCAGAUUACUGUUGUAUUUAUCAAAGAAAAAAGAAAUUCUUUAUUUCUUCAACAGAAAAAAGAUAAAUAAAAGUUAAGUUACGAAGCCACAGAUCCUCAAAAAAGAUCGUCAGAAGACAUGUAAUGAAGAAUUAUCAGAUAUCGUAUGUUGUUUUAACAAGGAACAAGAGUCGGUAAAGAAAGCUCAUUUAUAUGUAUUGGAGUUUAGUGUGACGUCAAUUUUCACUGAACUAGUACACAUUUUUGUUAAGGAGCCAGCUGAAGCCCGUCUCCGGUUGCCGGAUUUUCUCGCUGUGUUGAAGACCCAUUGGUGGCCUUGGGCUGUUUUCUGCUCUUUUGUCCGGUUGUUGUCUCUUUGAAACAUUCCCCAUUUCCAUUCUCCAUUUAAUGUGUUCAUCUUUAAAUUGGAAAAUUGACGAAAUCUAAAGCCAAAACACUAUAGCAAUUAUAAUUGCAUUGUGAAUCCUGAUCUGAAUUUUGCAAAUCUUAAGGCAUAUACAAAAAAAGUUCAUAACGAAAAAUACAAAUACAUAUAAUCAAACUUAGUCAAAGUUAAUUGUAUACCAUAUUAUCGGAAUGUCUCGGAAAAUGUUAACGAUAUUGACCUACUCAGAACGAACAAGAAUUCCGUUCUAUUAUCAACAGGUAUUACAUAGUAAUUGCAAAUCGAUAAAGUAAUUUUGCUUAAAGUUUUAAUAAUCUGUAAAGAAUGAUGUAAACAUGAAAUUUGAAAAGAUAAAUUGUGUAAGGUUUCGUUGUGUUACAUAUUUAGAGGAGUUGUCCGAUGUGCAUAGAAGGAGGGGCUUACCCUGUCGACACAACUGUAUCUCUUCUUGAAGUUCAUGCGAUUGUUUGUUACUUUGAAUUAUAUUUCCUUAAUGAAUUUUUAUGAUUUGAAUAUCGGUAAACUUAUAUUGCCUCUAACUUACCAAGAUUUUUAAAAGCAAAAGGUGAUGAAAGAGGAUGGCAUGCGAAAAAUCCUAAUCCGUCUGAUGUGCAUGGCUGGUGAUGCAUGCAUAGCAUGAGGAACUUACCCUAUCGACCAUUUUACUCGAAAGCAAUGUCAUAUUGCAAAUCUUUUUCUGAAAUUCAAGGACAGUCACUUAAAACAUCCACCAAAAUCUGGAUGAAAAGUGCCUCAGCGCUUUUACUAACAAGUUAUUUCAAUUGACCGUCAGAAAAUAUGUAAACCUGAAGUUUCAAACAAUACACUGCAAAUAAAACUGAAUUGUUUGUUGAGGAGAAUGGUCACGAAAGCCUAAAGUUGGCCCUAUAAAUUGAACUUAGAAAUGAUAUAUGUAAAGACCUGUAUUUACGAUCUAAAGUAUGCUUUUAAUGUCUGUUGUUCCUAUUAACAAUGUUGACUGCUUUAAAUGUAUGAUAACUUACUUGCUAGCUUUUGGCCAAAUUGUCUGCUUUAUGCAUUUGUAAGGUAUUUUUCCUUUCAAAAAACAUACGCCACCCUAGUCGACCAAAAUAAAAUUGUUAUACAAAGAUGUAGGGACUCUGUGGGAUUCUGACGUUACCGACUUUAAAACUGUCACAAUUUUGGCAAAUCCUUUACUCCUUAUACUGAAAACAAAUAACUGCACAUCCAAAGAAGCCCUUCAAUAUUUUAUCAAGCAAUUACUCUACAACUAAUCAUCUUGUAUAAUUUUACCACAAAACAGAGGAUGAAGUCUGAUUUUGAAAAUUUUUUAGUAACAUUUGUCUUGUGAACGUCAAUGAUUUGCGACUCGCAUCGCAUCGCUAAUUUUAAGACACAAACAAAAAUUAAAAUAAAAAAAAAAAAAAAAACAGAAUAUUCAGCAUUUUAUGGCUUCAAUCGUUAAAGACAUGUAGAAAAUCGAGAUAAUGGUUUUAAGCGACAAAAAGUGCAUUUAUUUCAAAUUAAUUGAAAAAUCUAGUCUUCUGUGUAAUAUUUCGUAUUUUAUACCAGUCUCAUUCAAUUCUACAGACUUAAAAAAUUCAAAUCAUGUCUUUCGUUUAGAAAAGUUUGUUUUGAUACAAAAACCGAUUUUCAUUUUAAGAUUGGUCAAUCACUAGAAACAAAACAUAGUUACAGCAUCUAUUUUUGCCAUAAUAACGUCCGUCUAUUUCUAUCUGAAAAAGCGAAAAAGAAAGAAGCAUUGUUCAUGUCAAUUUCGUAUUUCAAGAAAGCAUGUUUUUAACCUUACUUAAAAUUAUUAGUUUUUUGACAGGUGCCUUAUUUCGAACGGCAACUAUUAAAAGCAUAUUCAUGACAACAAUGUGUCAAUGUGAAGCUAAUGUUACACUGCUUCUACUCUAGAAUUUGCAAAAGUAAGCUUACUAUACAAAUCAUUGUUCUACUAGAACAACCUAGAGAGUCGAGUGUUUAACAUGUUAGCCAACAAGGUAACAACGAGCAGGCAGAACUGUGAUCCAUCUGCGCACACAAUGAUGAUUCCGAGCUAAUAACCAGACUUCGCCCAGAUUCCGAUAAAAUUUAUAAUUUUGCAUGGCCCUAAUAGUAAAGUUUUUUUCAACGGACCGUCGACUGAAAUCACGACCCCAUCCCUUCUCGCGACAGGUAACAAUCAUUCAUCCCAAAUCGACUAUUCAUAUGCACGAUCCAUUUUUUGUUUUGUCAAUUCCAUCGAGGUGUCGAUUAUAAUUGUUAACGAUAAAGAUAAAAAAAAAAUGCCUAUUCCAUAAAAAAUGCUAAUUACGUUUCUUUAUACGAAAUAAACAUAAAUUAAGUUUAUGGGUUUUUCUUCUUUUCUUUUAAUUUUGGAAAAUUUAAUGUAGCUGACAAUUUUUUUUAAAGAAUCCGAUCGAAUAAGAACUUGCCAAAUUGCAUAUACCCCUGACUACGGUUGAACAACUUUUUGGAAAUGUAACGACUUACUCUAAGCAUUUUUGUGUCAUUGAGUCGAUGCCUCAUUUACGUAUACCAUACAUCUUCUUUAAUUCAUAUUUCAAAGACCAGGAAUAAAUAGA